rnacentral:rRNA from 1 species
GACGAACGCUGGCGGCAUGCCUAAUACAUGCAAGUCGAGCGAACAGAUGAAGUGCUUGCACUUCUGACGUUAGCGGCGAACGGGUGAGUAACACGUAAGGAACCUACCUAUAAGCGGGGGAUAACAUUCGGAAACGGGUGCUAAUACCGCAUAAUAUCUUCUUCCGCAUGGAAGAAGAUUGAAAGACGGCUCUCCUGUCCCUUAUAGAUGACCUUGCGGUGCAUUAGUUAGUUGGUGGGGUAACGGCCUACCAAGACGAUGAUGCAUAGCCGACCUGAGAGGGUGAUCGGCCACAUUGGGACUGAGACACGGCCCAAACUCCUACGGGAGGCAGCAGUAGGGAAUCUUCCGCAAUGGGCGAAAGCCUGACGGAGCAAUGCCGCGUGAGUGAAGAAGGCCUUCGGGUCGUAAAACUCUGUUAUAAGAGAAGAACAAAUUGUAGAGUAACUGCUACAGUCUUGACGGUAUCUUAUCAGAAAGCCACGGCUAACUACGUGCCAGCAGCCGCAGUAA